CCUCAAAGCCCACACUCCCCACCCCCAUCAAUCUCUUCUUCAGGAUUGUGCAAGACUCUGGUUAUUGCACAGAGUGGCUCCUGGCAGCCUCUCCUGAUGGGCUGGAGCUGUGAUAAGAGGCACAUUUCUGGGAAGCAGGAAUGUGCUUGGCCUGGCAGGCUGGAGUGGACAGGGGCCGAGAUGUGAAACAGACCCUGUGUGCACAGGAAGACGCCAGGGAGGAAAACACUUUCCCACCAUGGGCCUGUACACGGAAGUGCUUGCCUUCCAUCUGCAAAGAAUGGGCUCAUACUUGAAAUUCAGCCUAUUGGGUAAUGUCUCGGGGCUCUGCAGCUUGACACGAUGAGACAGAACAGAGACAAGCACAAGGAGACAGCCCACCACGGUUGGUCUCACUCAUCUCAGAAGCUUUCCCUGCCACCAGAGAGCCUCUUAGGGCCGCAAUAAAUAGAAAAUGCAACUCUUACCUGGCUUGAAAAA